rnacentral:rRNA from 1 species
UACGAAGGGUGCAACCGUUGCUCGGAAUUAUUGGGCGUAAAGCGCACGUAGGCGGCUUUGCAAGUCGGAUGUGAAAUCCCUCGGCUCAACCAAGGAAGUGCAUCCGAAACUGCAGAGCUUGAGUACUUAAGAGGAUCGCGGAAUUCCCAGUGUAGAGGUGAAAUUCGUAGAUAUUGGGAAGAACACCGGUGGCGAAGGCGGCUCACUGGCUCAUUUCUGACGCUCAGGCGCGACAGCGUGGGGAUCAAACAGG